CUUUUUAUUCGCUCGGUCAGUGGGGGUGAGAAACUGGCUUGGCUAUGUACUCCCCAUUGUGGACAGUCAGUCUUUUUCUCUCUCCUAUUGGCCCGGCGAGAAU